rnacentral:misc_RNA from 1 species
AACAUCAUGCCUUCUGCCUCACAUACAAUGGCAUCCAUUAUUUUCUCAGGUUCCAUCAAUAUAAAUAAAUAUCUCCAGAAAUUUAAGAUGAACAUUCUAAAUUGUCUGCAAAUGACAAAUUAAUGUGUCUGACAUUUAAGAAGCUAUUCAACUGGAUGUUUUCUAGAUGUUCUGGUUUCAAAUAACGAGCAAGUCAGUCAAGGAAAUUAUCAAGCAGAAUA